rfam:Erinaceus europaeus unplaced genomic scaffold scaffold00592, whole genome shotgun sequence
UGCGAUUAGAAAGCAGUGAUGCACACGCCCGAUCUCGUCUGAUCUCGGAAGCUAAGCAGGGUCGGGACUGGUUAGUACUUGGAUGGGAGAAAGCAGUGAUGCUUACAC